UUUCACCUGGUGUUUAUGUUAAAAGUUGAUGUAGCAUAAGAUAAUGUCUAAUAGGGAAGACUUGGCAAUUUAGGUGAGUACCUACUUGAAGGGAACAUUUUAUCGUGGCUGAGUUUUCGUGGAACAUUAAGAAACAUUACUGUAUUUAUCGCUUACCUUAAAAAACGAUGAUAGCAUUGUUGCCAUUUAAAAACUAAGAAAUGCUGCAGAAAAAAUGUGAUGUUAAGUCCGAUAACUUCACAAGCACUCAUAUGGACUGAAAGGUUUGUCAUGUUUGUUUGCUCAAAUUCUUAGUAGCGAGCUAUUAUUUUUCCCCCCUCAUUAUUUAGAAUCCCUUUUGGGAUAAAGGAUCAACCAAGAUGACAAACGUGGGUGCUAAGGCUCUUCUCAGCUGGGUCAAUAGUAUCACUGCAUUGAACAGCGAGAUACAGGUCGGUGAUUUAAAGGAUGGGGUGGUCCUGGUGAAACUGAUUCAUGUACUGAAAAAGAGGGAAAUCCCCUGUUUCCGUGAUUCAUUUGAGGGCCGGGUUUGUGUCAUUAGAGUUCCUAGAAGCCUGGAGUCAAGAUCUUCAGAUUCCUGCUAGUUGAAACCAGCCGCUGAGGGUCUAUUGCAGGGGUGUCAAACGUACGGCCCGCGAGCCGGAACCGACCCGCCGAACGAUUUAGCCCGGCAUUUAGCCCGGGGGCUAAAUGCAUUGUCAUUGUUCAUGAMAAAAACAUAUACUUCGUUUAAUUGAAAAUCUGCAGUUCAUAUACUGUCCACGAGGGGCGCUGUUUUAUUCAGAGCAGACAACAUGAUGCAACACUGCAUCAGAACUAACAGCAGAUGGCAGCACUGAGCUUCAGGUUCUGUAAAGUUUGAAUCUAUCGCUUUACCAGUUAUUUUGACCCUGGCAACCUCAUAUUUCUCGUGCAUGGUGACUUAUAUACAYGUUAUUUAAGUUUUUAUAUAUGUAUACAUUUUAUGCAUCAACAAAUGUACUUAAUCAAAUGUCUUUUUAAAACAGUUGACACUUCAGAUUUCGAAUGUGUGAAGCCAGAUAAUUUGUUCAAAUUGCUUCCCAGAUGUGGAAAAUUGAUUUUAAACAAUUUCUUAAUUUUUAUCCGUUUGAUGUAUUUUGUGUAUUUUGUGAUGCAGGACAGUGUUUUUAAGUUCCAAAAACAGUGAAUAAAUAUUCUGUGUAACAGUUAUGGGCUAUGCAGCUAACUGCGUCUACAA